UUUAUAAAUGGCUGUCCUCAGCUCGUGUCGUGAGAUGUUGGGUUAAGUCCCGCAACGAGCGCAACCCUUCCCAUUAGUUGAUACGAAAGGGCACUUUAAUGGGACUGCCGGUGACAAACCGGAGGAAGGUGGGGAUGACGUCAAGUCCUCAUGGCCCUUAUAGGUGGGGCUACACACGUCAUACAAUGGCCGGUACAGAGGGUAGCCAACCCGCGAGGGGGAGCCAAUCCCACAAAACCGGUCGUAGUCCGGAUCGCAGUCUGCAACUCGACUGCGUGAAGUCGGAAUCGCUAGUAAUCGCGGAUC
rnacentral:rRNA from 1 species